CCUAAAUGAAAUCUGUAGCUGAAGAUAGAAUCAUAGAAUAUCCCAAGUUGGAAGGGACCCACAAGGAUCAUUGAGUCCAACUCCUGACUCCACAUAGGACCACCCCAAAAUCAGAUAUAUGUCAGAGAGCAUUGUCCAGAUGCUUCUGGAACUCUGUCAGCUUGGGGCCAUGACCACUGCACUGGGAUGCCUGUUCCGGGGCCUGACCACCUUCUGCUGAAGAACCUUUUCAUCAUAUCCAGCCUGAUCCUCCCCUGAAGGUAUCAUUAUACUUUCCCAGGCAUAAUAGUACAUGUCGGUGUGCUACUGUAGUGGUAGAGGAAUGCAACCACGUCCAUGAGGCAAGCGAGCAGCCUACCUGGUAUCUCACCUUGUCCAGCGCUGAUUUCCAGCCAGAAGAUUCCCUUCUGUAGUUGCCACUCAAGAGCAGGUUGCAGCUUCUCUGACAUGCCCUUUAAUUGGGAAACAACAUUUCCCUUCACCUGGAAACCUGAAAGUACAGGAAGGCAUUCCUGAUCCCAAGGAUGGCUCCAGUUCUGGGUGUGUGAGCAAGGCAGCUGAGAGCAUGACCGUGUGGAUAACAGCACCCAUGCUCCCUUCCCUCCCUCUCAACUAGUGGUUUUUUACAUUGUAAGGAGUACAAUCAUUGUGGAAAUUAAAGGAAUAUAAGGUGGUAUUUCCAGUCUAUGACAUCCAUUAAGUCUAUUAAAGUAAGCCAAGAGUUAUAAAGGAGGUUAAUUUGUUCUCUUACAGAAUCUCAAAAUAAUAGCAUAAUCUAUUGAGGCUCCAGUACUGAUCCCUGGUGACUGCCUCACACUCCUUCAGUGGGGUUAACCACUUUGUGCAAGCCUGACAAAGACAGGGAAGGUCAGUCAUUCUCUGCCUGAUCCCUGGCUCUCUGCUGUUGUAAAGAGAACCUGUACUCUUUUUUGUUUUUUUUUUUUCCCUCCUCUAAAUGCUAGUAGAGCAGCUGCACCUAAAACCUCUGCCAUCCUUACUGCAGGACAUAC